CAUCUCUUCUUAGCUUAGCUUGAUUUAUUUCCUAGCCAUCCUACCAAUGUUUAUUUUUUAUAGAAAAAGGUUAGAAAUUUAGCAAAUUGGUUCCAAUUUGAUUAGAGAAGAGAUAGGCUGGUGUAUAAAAUUACUAUUAGGUUUAUAACCAAGAAAUACAGCUCAUUGAAGACGCAGGUUGAGGCUGGUCCGAUUGAGUAUGGAGAAUGAAUUAGUAAGCCUUUUUUAUGACUGAGUUGGUACUGUCAACUCAUGAAACCCUUCUCCAAUAUCCGCUUAAAUGUCGUUUUUUAGAUUGAAUUUUGAUAUGGAAGAAGAAUGAACUUUGCACAGUAUGUUUUAAAUUACAAUGAGAGAACAAACUGGUAAAACCUUCAACUUUAUCCAUUUACCUAUUUAAUUCAGUGUACUUAUUUCUUUAACAUGUCAUAGCGUUUUUGUUUGCCAGUGAUCAACGUAACCUUUCAAUGAAUUAGCUUCAUCUCUUGAUCCUUUAUUGAAUGACUUUUAGUGUGAAGUUCUGUUGCAUCCCUUAUGUUUUAUAUCAACACUUGAGAAUAUGAUAGAGCACAAUGGUCUCUCUCUAAUGUGAUUUAGCUUCUUUUUUUUUUGGUAGUGCUGAUGGACCCUGCUAAACGUUUUGAGUAUGAUUUCACUAGUGUUAAUGGUAUCCACAAGUAUACUUUACGUGAAUAUCUCCUUUUAGUUUAGGGAAUGAUACUCACUUGCAAUGGGUUCGAUAUCAGCCAAUCUUCAUCACCAUGGUAACAACCUCUUCAGAUCAUUCUCUGUUUAGUUCAUCAUAUUUUUCUAAGAACCUCAAAUUUAACAACCUUCAAUGGACCUAUGAAAUAUGAAAGUUUCUUAAAAAAAAUUUUUAAUUUCACUUUUAUUCAAAAUUAAAAAUAAAAUCUGUUUUAAAAUACUUUCAUUACAUUCUUUAACGGAGAUACUCUAAAUAUUUAAUUUUUAUCUCACCAAGUUGUUAGGGUUUAUUCGAGGUAGUCCCAAGUUCCAAUGUCAAAAUUAGUGUAUAUUUUUACUUCUUCCUCUAAUUUAUAAAAUUUUGGUCCAUUAAAACGUUUAAUUAUUUGUAUUUGCCGGCUAAAAGAUUGAAGAAUUCGUUUUUUUUCUGUGAAAAGUUGUACUUUUUAUACUAUACUGUAUUUGGAAACGUGGACUUUACAGGAUGAAGAAAUAAAAU